rnacentral:rRNA from 1 species
UCCGUAGGCGGUGCGGCAAGUCGGAAGUGAAAUCUCAGGGCUUAACCCUGAGGCUGCUUCCGAAACUGCCGUGCUCGAGUGCGAGAGAGGCGAGUGGAAUUGCAGGUGUAGCGGUGAAAUGCGUAGAUAUCUGCAGGAACAUCCGAGGCGAAAGCGGCUCGCUGGAUCGCAACUGACGCUGAGGGACGAAAGCUAGGGAGCAAACAGGAUUAGAUACCCUGGUAGUCCUAGCCCUAAACGAUCAGGACUGGGCGUGGGCCUCGUACGGGGCUCGUGCCGCAGCUAACGCGUUAAGUCCUGCGCCUGGGGAGUACGGUCGCAAGGCUGAA